AGAGGUCCUGCCAGAUGCCAUGAGCAGGGAAAUAGGGACAAGUGGGCAACAAGUUUCAUGGGGCCUAUUCAUCUAUGCAGGUUGAGACCCAGCAGCCUUUUCCUGAGCCAGGACGCAUUCUCACAUGAUCUGCAUCUGCCACUGCUGAAGACAGGAUAUUGGGCUAAACAGAUGUGUGCUCCCAACUCCCAGCAGUUCCCAUGUUCCUCCCAGCACCAGGAACUGGCGUUGCCUCAUUGCAAGCUUCUAUUUGCUUUCAAAGGGGGAGGUUUGCCAUAACACACAGUAGUACUUCUGACACCCGUGCUGAAUGACUCAUGUGAUGACCCACCAAAACCUUUAAAGACUUUCAUGAAUAUCCACACUGGGACACACGAUUAUCAUAUCAAG